rnacentral:rRNA from 1 species
CAUAUCAAUAAGCGGAGGAAAAGAAACUAACAAGGAUUCCCCUAGUAACUGCGAGUGAAGCGGGAAAAGCUCAAAUUUAAAAUCUGGCGGUCUUUGGCCGUCCGAGUUGUAAUCUAGAGAAGUGUUAUCCGCGCUGGACCGUGUACAAGUCUCCUGGAAUGGAGCGUCAUAGAGGGUGAGAAUCCCGUCUUUGACACGGACUGCCAGGGCUUUGUGAUGCGCUCUCAAAGAGUCGAGUUGUUUGGGAAUGCAGCUCAAAAUGGGUGGUAAAUUCCAUCUAAAGCUAAAUAUUGGCGAGAGACCGAUAGCGAACAAGUACCGUGAGGGAAAGAUGAAAAGAACUUUGGAAAGAGAGUUAAACAGUACGUGAAAUUGCUGAAAGGGAAACGCUUGAAGUCAGUCGCGUUGUCCAGGGAUCAACCUUGCUUUUGCUUGGUGCACUUUCUGGUUGACGGGUCAGCAUCAAUUUUGACCAUUGGAAAAAGAUUAGGGGAAUGUGGCAUCCUUGGAUGUGUUAUAGCCCUUGGUUGCAUACAAUGGUUGGGAUUGAGGAACUCAGCACGCCGCAAGGCCGGGUUUUAACCACGUACGUGCUUAGGAUGCUGGCAUAAUGGCUUUAAUCGACCCGUCUUGAAACACGGACCAAGGAGUCUAACAUACCUGCGAGUGUUUGGGUGGAAAACUCGAACGCGUAAUGAAAGUGAAAGUUGAGAUCCCUGUCGUGGGGAGCAUCGACGCCCAGACCAGACCUUUUGUGACGGUUCUGCGGUAGAGCAUGUAUGUUGGGACCCGAAAGAUGGUGAACUAUGCCUGAAUAGGGUGAAGCCAGAGGAAACUCUGGUGGAGGCUCGUAGCGAUUCUGACGUGCAAAUCGAUCGUCAAAUUUGGGUAUAGGGGCGAAAGACUAAUCGAACCAUCUAGUAGCUGG